rnacentral:rRNA from 1 species
UACGUAGGUGGCAAGCGUUGUUCGGAAUUAUUGGGCGUAAAGGGCGCGUAGGCGGUUUGUUAAGUCGGUUGUGAAAGCCCGGGGCUCAACCCCGGAGAGUCGACCGAUACUGGCAGACUAGAGUACGGAAGAGGUAACUGGAAUUCCCGGUGUAGCGGUGAAAUGCGUAGAUAUCAGGAGGAACACCGGUGGCGAAGGCGGGAUCCUGGGCCAGUACUGACGCUGAGGAGCGAAAGCGUGGGGAGCAAACAGG